rnacentral:tRNA from 1 species
GUAUAUAUAGUUUAACUAAAACACUAGACUGUGAUUCUAGAAAUAAGAGUGAAAUACUCUUUAUAAACC